UACAGAGACUGCAAGCGUUGCUCGGAAUUACUGGGCGUAAAGCGCACGUAGGCGGAUUGUUAAGUCGGGGGUGAAAUCCUGGAGCUCAACUCCAGAACUGCCUUCGAAACUGGCGAUCUUGAGUCCGGGAGAGGUGAGUGGAACUGCGAGUGUAGAGGUGAAAUUCGUAGAUAUUCGCAAGAACACCAGUGGCGAAGGCGGCUCACUGGCCCGGUACUGACGCUGAGGUGCGAAAGCGUGGGGAGCAAACAGG
rnacentral:rRNA from 1 species